UUGACCUCGGAUCAGGUAGGGAUACCCGCUGAACUUAAGCAUAUCAAUAAGCGGAGGAAAAGAAACCAMCAGGGAUUGCCUCAGUAACGGCGAGUGAAGCGGCAACAGCUCAAAU
rnacentral:rRNA from 1 species